rnacentral:rRNA from 1 species
UAGAGCAAAUCUCAAAAAAACAAUCUCAGUUCAGACUGCAGGCUGCAACUCGUCUGCACGAAGUCGGAAUUGCUAGUAAUCGUAGGUCAGCAUACUACGGUGAAUACGUUCCCGGGCCUUGUACACACCGCCCGUCAAACCAUGAGAGUUGGCAACACCCGAAGUCGGUAGUCUAACCGCAAGGAGGACGCCGCCGAAGGUGGGGUUGAUGAUUAGGGUUAAGUCGUAACAAGGUAAC